GGCCGGGUAGCUCAGUCGGUAGAGCAGAGGACUGAAAAUCCUUGUGUCGGCAGUUCGAUUCUGCCCCUGGCCA
rnacentral:tRNA from 1 species